AGCCCUCCCCUCCUCAACCCUCUCACCCGGCCGCGCGUGGUGCCCUCAAGCGCGCGCGAGGCGAGGCGCGCGGACGGGCCCGGCGACGGCGAGCGGCUAGCGGCAGUGCGGAGGGGCCCAGCGACGGCGAGCGGCUAGCGGCGGUGUGGAGGGGCCCGGCGACGGCGAGCGGCUAGCGGCGGCGCGGAUCCGGCACCGGCGGCGCGGGCGACUGCGCGAGGCGGCAGCGCGGAGGGCAGAUCCGGCGACGGCGAGCGGCGCCCGAGGCCGAGGCCGAGGCGGCGGCGCGGAUCCGGCGCGGGCAACGGCGCGAGCAGAUAGAAGAAAUGAAGCCAUCACGGAAGAAGACACAGAAGGGUAGUGACGAUAAUGACAGCAGAAGCAGCAGCGGGAUAAGGGAUAAGGUUCAGGAACUUGGCUAGAAUAUGGCUGGAUGGAGCCUAAGGUGGGGAUGUUGAACCGAGCUUCCAAGAGGGAAUCUUAUCCAUAUUCUUAUGGUGUCGAGCAAACGGAUUUGUUAUGGAUGUACCGAGUAUCUUUGGGUCAGGUGUGGAGGUUGUCACAACACCACCUAGUGGUAUUUUCCAUUUAAAGCUCGAGCACAGUGAAAGAUGCCUGCAAUGGUGAUCAAUGGGGAAAAUUUGUACGUGAGGGGGUGGAGGAGCCUAAAUAGAUCUUUUGAAAUCAAAGAGAAAAGCACCACGGCGCCCAAAGAGCAGGAAGAAGUCUGACAAACCGAUGAGGAACUACAUGCUCGGGUAAGAUGUGAAGCCUGUAUACUGUGGGUUUAACUACGGGGAUCUGGCCCCAAAUGAAAAGCUCUGUGAUACCAUGAUGGGUAUUUAUAAGUUCAGCAGAGCUUUGUAUGCUUUGUUUGAAUACAAUGGGGAAACCCGGGAAGCAAUAUCAGGGAAGCUGUAGGAAAGAUUGCAGUAUUCAUAAACGAGGUCACCUGGUUCCUCUUUAUUGAGGACACAACAUGCAUUUCAUUCAGUAUCACUGAUAGCAGUGUGAGUAGACUGAGUCAAGCACAGUAAUCGUUAAGUGGUUUUGCAAUGUUCAGUGGUUGCAAAGGUGGUUGCAAUCGUUCCAACCACUGAACAUCAUGCUAUGCUUGAUUCAGUCUACUCACACUGUUAUCACUGAUACUGAAUGAAAUGCAUGUUGUGUACUCAAUGAAGAGGAAUCGGGUGGCCUCGCUUAUGAAUACUGCAAUCUUUCCUACAUCUUCUCUGAUAUUGCUUCCCGGGCUUCCCCCUUAUCGUACUCAAACAAAGCAUCCAAAACUCUUCUGAACUCAUAAAUACCCAUCAUGAUAUCACAGAGCUUUCCAUUUGAAGCCAAAUCCCCGUAGUUAAACCCACAGUAUACAGGCCUCACAUCUUACCCGAGCAUGUAGUUCCUCAUCGGUUUCUCAGACUUCUUCCUGCUCUUUGGGCGCCGUGGUGCUUUUCUCUUUGAUUUCAAAAGAUCUAUUUAGGCUCCUCCACCCCCUCACGUACAAAUUUUUCCCAUUGAUCACCACUGCAGGCAUCUUUCACUGUACUCGAGCUCUAAAUAGAAAGUACCACUAGGUGGUGUUGUGACAACCUCGACACCUGGCCCAAAGAUACUCGAUACAUCCAUGACAAAUUCGUUUGCUCGACACCAUGAGAAUAUGGAUAAGAUUUCCUCUUGGAAGCUCGAUACAAUAUUUCCACCGUGGGCUCCAUCCAGGCAUAUUCUAGCCGAGUUCCUGGGCCUUGUCCCGCUGCUGCUUCUGCCGUCAUCAUCAUCACCAGGGUGCGGGUUUGGAAAACCCUCUGUCCACCAAGGUGGACAGUCUGUCAGAUGACUUCCUGACGGGCUGGUUCCCCGGAGAGGCAAAUCUCCUCGUAGUGCACUACAAUGGCCUUUUAGCCGUUGAGCA